CCUGGCUUAGGACGAACGCUGGCGGCGUGCCUAAUACAUGCAAGUCGAACGGUCUUUCUAUGGAAGCUUGCUUCCACUGAGAAGAUAGUGGCGAACGGGUGAGUAACACGUGGGUAACCUGCCCAUAAGAGGGGGAUAACAUCCGGAAACGGGUGCUAAUACCGCAUAGUUUUCUUGAUCGCAUGAUCGGGAAAGGAAAGACGGCCUUUGUGCUGUCGCUUAUGGAUGGACCCGCGGCGUAUUAGUUAGUUGGUGAGGUAACGGCUCACCAAGACGAUGAUACGUAGCCGACCUGAGAGGGUGAUCGGCCACAUUGGGACUGAGACACGGCCCAAACUCCUACGGGAGGCAGCAGUAGGGAAUCUUCCGCAAUGGACGAAAGUCUGACGGAGCAACGCCGCGUGAGUGAAGAAGGUUUUCGGAAUCGUAAAACUCUGUUGUCAGAGAAGAACAAGUUGGAGAGUAACUGCUCCAGCCUUGACGGUAUCUGACCAGAAAGCCACGGCUAACUACGUGCCAGCAGCUGC
rnacentral:rRNA from 1 species